UUUUGUCUGAGGCAUGGGGCUGGUUAUGCUCUGUCACCAUGCUCGGGAGCGGAAGAGAAGAUGCACUGCUUAUUGCUUGGAUAAACAAGUCUUCAACAGCCCUUUUACAAGACUCAGAAAGGAGGCACCCGCAAGGACUCCACCUCCUCUCCAGAUGCUCCACAAGAUGAGAGCGUGAAGCAGGACCGGCUCCAGUCCCAAGAGGCGAGGAAGGGUGAUGAAAGGGCGUUCAGAGGCCUUCUGCUGCCCGCAGAACUCGAAGCACUGUGAUGAAGAACUGCUAUUAUUCAGCUAAGAAGCAAUAUUGAUGCUAAAAAGCAAACGCAGUCACUGCCUUCCAUCCUCCCAGCAUCAGUCUGGAGGGGGAAAUCCCAGGUGGUGCAGAACAGGUCAAGCAACACCCAGAUGGCAAAGAGCCAUGGUGCUAUGAGGAAUUUUCCAGAAUCCUGAUUAGUAACAAAUCAGAGAUGGUUCAAUUCCAUGUAUUGCUACCCACAUGACUAAACUAUAGUGAAAGAUGCAUGUCUUGGCUUGCAGGUGCAAGAGGGAGGGUUUAUUGUCUUCUCGGUCCCUUCUUGCAGGAGGCUGGGUGCUGUUGGUGUGUGACAGGCAGUGAGAACCCUGUGGGCUGGUGGGAGCAGCCCCAUCUGCAGCGUGUUCAGACUGAUGGAGCGAU